rnacentral:pre_miRNA from 1 species
GUGAGCCAGGGAAAGGAAGAAAAGUAUCUAAGAGCGCUAGGGAUAGGAACAUGAAGGAAAGCAUAAUCUCUAUUCCAUCUCUGGCAUUGCAGAUGGAGAUUUGAUUGAAUGUUUUCCUGAUGCCUCCUAUUUCUAAGGCUCUUAGGUUCUCCUUCCCUUCCCUAAUGGCU